UACAGAGGGUGCAUGCGUUAUUCGGAUUCACUGGGCGUAAAGUGCGCGUAGGCGGUUUGGUAAGUCGGAUGUGAAAUCCCGGAGCUCAACUCCGGAACUGCAUUCGAUACUGCCAGGCUGGAGUACAGGAGAGGAGAACGGAAUUCCCGGUGUAGAGGUGAAAUUCGCAGAUAUCGGGAGGAACAACAGUAGCGAAGGCGGUUCUCUGGACUGUUACUGACGCUGAGGCGCGAAAGCGUGGGGAGCAAACAGG
rnacentral:rRNA from 1 species